rnacentral:rRNA from 1 species
AGAGUUUGAUCCUGGCUCAGGACGAACGCUGGCGGCGCGCCUAACACAUGCAAGUCGAACGGAGCUUAGAGAGCUUGCUUUUUAAGCUUAGUGGCGAACGGGUGAGUAACGCGUGAGUAACCUGCCCUGGAGUGGGGGACAACAGUUGGAAACGACUGCUAAUACCGCAUAAGCCCACGGUACCGCAUGGUACUGAGGGAAAAGGAUUUAUUCGCUUCAGGAUGGACUCGCGUCCAAUUAGCUAGUUGGUGAGGUAACGGCCCACCAAGGCGACGAUUGGUAGCCGGACUGAGAGGUUGAACGGCCACAUUGGGACUGAGACACGGCCCAGACUCCUACGGGAGGCAGCAGUGGGGGAUAUUGCACAAUGGGGGAAACCCUGAUGCAGCGACGCCGCGUGGAGGAAGAAGGUCUUCGGAUUGUAAACUCCUGUUGUUGAGGAAGAUAAUGACGGUACUCAACAAGGAAGUGACGGCUAACUACGUGCCAGCAGCCGCGGUAAAACGUAGGUCACAAGCGUUGUCCGGAAUUACUGGGUGUAAAGGGAGCGCAGGCGGGAAGACAAGUUGGAAGUGAAAUCUAUGGGCUCAACCCAUAAACUGCUUUCAAAACUGUUUUUCUUGAGUAGUGCAGAGGUAGGCGGAAUUCCCGGUGUAGCGGUGGAAUGCGUAGAUAUCGGGAGGAACACCAGUGGCGAAGGCGGCCUACUGGGCACCAACUGACGCUGAGGCUCGAAAGUGUGGGUAGCAAACAGGAUUAGAUACCCUGGUAGUCCACACCGUAAACGAUGAUUACUAGGUGUUGGAGGAUUGACCCCUUCAGUGCCGCAGUUAACACAAUAAGUAAUCCACCUGGGGAGUACGACCGCAAGGUUGAAACUCAAAGGAAUUGACGGGGGCCCGCACAAGCAGUGGA